rnacentral:rRNA from 1 species
CGUGAAACCGCGAAUGGCUCAUUAUAACAGCUAUAAUUUACUUGAUCUUGACACAAUCCUACUUGGAUAACUGUGGUAAUUCUAGAGCUAAUACAUGCAUUAAAGCUCUGACCUCACGGGAAGAGUGCAUUUAUUAGAACAAAACCAAGCGGCUUCGGCUGUUUCUGGUUGACUCAUAGUAACUGAGCUGAUCGCAUGGUCUUGCACCGGCGACGUGUCUUUCAAGUAUCUGCCGUAUCAACUUUCGAUGGUAGUGUAUCUGACUACCAUGGUGAUCACGCGUAACGGAGAAUAAGGGUUCGGCUCCGGAGAGUUCGCCUGAGAAAUCGCGAACACAUCUAAGGAAGGCAGCAGGCGCGAAAAUUACCCACUCUCAGCACGAGGAGGUAGUGACGAAAAAUAACGAGACCGUUCUCUUAUGAGGCCGGUCAUCGGAAUGGGUACAAUUUAAA